rnacentral:rRNA from 1 species
CCUACGUGAGGCAGCAGUGGGGAAUAUUGCGCAAUGGGCGAAAGCCUGACGCAGCGACGCCGCGUGAGGGAUGAAGGUCUUCGGAUCGUAAACCUCUGUCAGCAGGGAAGAACGGUCACUGUGCUAAUCAGCAGUGAAUUGAUGGUACCUGCAAAGGAAGCACCGGCUAACUCCGUGCCAGCAGCCGCGGUAAUACGGAGGGUGCGAGCGUUAAUCGGAAUUACUGGGCGUAAAGCGCUCGUAGGCGGUAUGUCAAGUCAAGGGUGAAAUCCCCGCGCUCAACGUGGGAACUGACUUUGAAACUGGCAAACUGGAGUGUGUGAGAGGAUAGUGGAAUUCCAGGUGUAGGAGUGAAAUCCGUAGAUAUCUGGAGGAACAUCAGUGGCGAAGGCGACUAUCUGGCACAUAACUGACGCUGAGGAGCGAAAGCGUGGGUAGCAAACAGGAUUAGAUACCCGGGUAGUC